UCAUUUGAAUGUUCUUUUGAAGUUCAUAACUUAUGUGCUCAAUGUAUGCUCGAUGUUAAGAAUCUAGAAAAGGUAAAUACGUCCUGUCUUUACUCUUCUAAAUAAGGCUUACAUGUGGAACCAAACCUUGUGCCGCUAGAUCUUCCUCUAAGUCGUCGUCACAAACCUCGCCUCCGUACGCCCGUCGGCCUCCUAGCCCAUCCUCUUCUCCUAGACCUCGCUGCAGAUCAGGCCUGGGCCUACCCUUCUCUUUUCCAUACGCGGAAGACGCCUGGACCUGUGCCUGCUCUUCUCCCUCCUAGCCGCCGCUGCCUCCUUCUCGCAUCGGGUCACCUGCCUGCCUGCUCCGGGCAGCGACGGCGGCGCUAGUGGCGACGGGCAAGGGGGUGGUGCGGGAGGUGUUGGGGAACGAGGUUGUGGACGAAGUGGACUAGCCCAUCAUCGACUACAUCGCCAAUGUCCUCGCUGACCUGGACUUCGACUUUGGCCCACCUGACGGCCACGGCAUCUUCGAGUUUUUAUUCAACGCAUUGCUCACCAGCAGACAAUCAGAUUCUGCAGUGAAUGGUGCAGUCAGGUGGAUGCAGUCAUGCAGACCAAGUGCAUUCCCUCCCUACACGGAGUGGCUUCUGCCUCGGUAGCACAGCCUGCCCGAUGGAUAACUCCCCGAGCAGAAAGCACAGCGGGCCUGAGGUCUACCAUGACACUAGCUACAGCUGGAUCAUUUUGUAAAUUUUGUGGCCUGGUGAAUUAAUUAGUGAUUGGUUGACGGCCUAUUCAAGUUACUAAAGAUGGAAGAUCCGUAUAAAAUAUGCCUGAUCUGAAAGACCCUCCUCCAGCAAGUAAAGAAACUCAGGUACCAUGUUAAUUUCUCAUUCUUUGCCGUCAUGUUCUAAUUUCUUGCUAUGUCCUGCCAGUUAUGCUAUGUUGAAUGUAUGACCCUUUCAGCUUAGCAUUUCUUUCAACAUUAUGUGCAUAUUGCGGUACAAAUAUAUAUCUGGAAUUGGUUUGUUUUCUUUAAUUAGAAGAACAUUUAGAAUCAGUUGUUGCGAACAUUUCUGUUAAUGGUAUUUUUCCAAAUUAGUGUGUUGCUUUUCGUAUUUUUGUUUAAGAGAAUGCAAAUCUGGGAUCGCAUUUGAAACUUAGAGAUUAAUAAAUUGCAAAAUUUGCCUCUGUUUAGGCCUGACUGAUGCACUGUUCUAUUUUGAAGAUUUUUGCAGAAUGACAGUUUCUCCAGAGAUAUCCAGAGAUUAUGUAUUCACCCUUUCCAUUUUUAUUAAGCUAGACACACAAUUUUCGUAUCGUUGGUGCUCAGGAAGAGCAUUUUCGUAUGGUUUGUUCCAUGGAGGCUCUGAGUUGAUCGGUAUCUUUUGUCCAGGUGCUCCUAUCUAGAUAUGUGUGUAAUGUGAUCAGCGGCGCUUUUGAUUUGCCAUGUGGCUUCAGGUGUAUAGAGAGGCAUGUUUUCAGGUUUGGUGGAGCAAUUUAGCAGGAGAAGAAAAACCGUCUUGGCUCAGGAUUUCAGCUGUGUCUUGGGGCAUUUGGAAAAGUAGAAAUUGGUGGCCUCAUGAACCAGUUGGGAUUGUUCUCUGUUUUGUAGAUGGAUUUCUGACUGUAGUUUAUUGCAAUGGCACGAAAACGCACUGGACUUCUCGAAUAGGUGGGACUUAUAUCUUAGCGGCAGGCGAUGGGCACAGAUAUUUCAGCUGCUUUUGUUUUCUGAUAUCUACAAGGUGUGUUGUGGGAAUUCUUUUCCUUGUUGGUGUGUUGCUAUUGCUUUUAUAUGUUUGGGGCUAACUAUAGCCUUUGAGCUUGGAGGUAUUCGCCAAGCCAUUUCAAGUCGAGUCGAGUUUCAAUGUUUUGGAAUAUCAUCGUACUAUCUUUUCUAUACACCUGAAUUUUCACAUGUAUCAUGUGCGGUAAUCACCAUUUAUGGAAAGCAAAAGCAAAGUGA